UGCUAGAACCCGGGAGCAUAUGAUUUUGCUGCUCAUGACAUACGCGUCAAUAUUGCAAUCAACUCUGACUGCAAUUGUAUAGACAAGGGCCUGCAUUCUAUAUGGAAGGUUCGACAUUGAAGCUGCUUGCAUUGAUCUGCAAUAGAUCUUGACUUCAGCGGAAAAUGAGGUUUCAUGGAGGCAGUGCCUUAUUCUACAUGAUGGGAAUUCAACGGCAUUUUAUUGUUUUGUUCUUAAAUACUAGCUGGGUGUGCCGUCUAUUCACAGAUGAAGUAAUCUGAACAUCUCUUGCAGACAAAACACUCGGGGAAAGUUCCCAGCCGUGCACCUGUGACCGCUGAAGAGGCAUACUGUUUUAGGAAUGCAUGACAGACUGGUCGCGAGAUUUGUGUCUAGGAUGGAAUUACAUGAUAUGUCAAAAUGGUGGUCUUUAUUAUGCAAUUUAACUGAUCUCUUGUUGCACCUCUCCUUUCCAGAAAAACAAUUAUUUAAUUUUUCAAAUUUGAUCUUC